rnacentral:rRNA from 1 species
AGUGAACGCUGGCGGUAGGCCUAACACAUGCAAGUCGAACGGCAGCACAGUAAGAGCUUGCUCUUACGGGUGGCGAGUGGCGGACGGGUGAGGAAUACAUCGGAAUCUACUUUUUCGUGGGGGAUAACGUAGGGAAACUUACGCUAAUACCGCAUACGACCUACGGGUGAAAGCAGGGGAUCUUCGGACCUUGCGCGAUUGAAUGAGCCGAUGUCGGAUUAGCUAGUUGGCGGGGUAAAGGCCCACCAAGGCGACGAUCCGUAGCUGGUCUGAGAGGAUGAUCAGCCACACUGGAACUGAGACACGGUCCAGACUCCUACGGGAGGCAGCAGUGGGGAAUAUUGGACAAUGGGCGCAAGCCUGAUCCAGCCAUACUGCGUGGGUAAAGAAGGCCUUCGGGUUGUAAAGCCCUUUUGUUGGGAAAGAAAAGCAGCAGGUUAAUACCCCGCUGUUCUGACGGUACCCAAAGAAUAAGCACCGGCUAACUUCGUG